rnacentral:rRNA from 1 species
UACAGAGGGUGCAAGCGUUGUUCGGAAUUACUGGGCGUAAAGCGCGUGUAGGUGGCGAGAUAAGUCGGGUGUGAAAUCCCUUGGCUUAACCAAGGAAGUGCAUUCGAUACUGUUUCGCUUGAGUAUCGGAGGGGUCGGUGGAAUUCCCGGUGUAGAGGUGAAAUUCGUAGAUAUCGGGAGGAACACCUGUGGCGAAGGCGGCCGACUGGACGAUCACUGACACUGAGACGCGAAAGCGUGGGUAGCAAACAGG